rnacentral:rRNA from 1 species
CACGCCGUAAACGUUGAGAACUAAGUGUUGGGGAGACCCAGUGCUGAAGCUAACGCAUUAAGUUCUCCGCCUGAGGAGUACGCACGCAAGUGUAAAACUUAAAGGGAUUGACGGGGGCCCGCACAAGCAGUGGAGCAUGUGGUUUAAUUCGAGGCUACGCGAAGAACCUUACCAGGGCUUGACAGGAAACUUAAGACCCUAGAGAUAGGGGGAUAAUAAGUGAAACAGGUGG